CGGACCUGACGGCAGGGACGAAAGCUUAGGGGCACGAACCGGAUUAGAUACCCGGGUAGUCCUAGCCGUAAACGAUACUCGCUAGGUGUCGGCCACGGUGCGACCGUUGUCGGUGCCGUAGGGAAGCCGUGAAGCGAGCCACCUGGGAAGUACGGCCGCAAGGCUGAAACUUAAAGGAAUUGGCGGGGGAGCACCACAACGGGUGGAGCUUGCGGUUUAAUUGGAUUCAACGCCGGAAAUCUUACCGGGACCGACAGCAAUAUGAAGGCCAGGCUGAAGACUUUGCCGGAUUAGCUGAGAGGUGGUGCAUGGCCGUCGUCAGUUCGUACUGUGAAGCAUCCUGUUAAGUCAGGCAACGAGCGAGACCCAA
rnacentral:rRNA from 1 species